rnacentral:misc_RNA from 1 species
UCUUCAUUCAUGCCUCUUUCAUGGAUUUCAUCAACAAGCAGAUGGCUAACACCAGUCAAAUCAGGGUCCUGAACCAGCCGCCGCAGUAACACUCCUGUUGUGCAAAAUAGCAACCGUGUUUGAGCAGAGCGCUUUGCUUCCAGCCGGAUCUGGUAGCCAACAGUAUCACCAAGACUGUCUCCUCUUUCAGAGGAUAUUCGAGCAGCAACUGAUAUUGCAGAUAUACGGCGAGGCUGAGUGCAUAUAAUGUUACAAUCAACACCACGAAGGGAUGAUAUCUCCUCUUCUAGAAUGAAUUGAGGGAG